UGUGACACUGGUGAUGUUGCAAUCUCUGUUGGUAGAUCUAUCAUUCUUGUUUGCAUAAAUGGUAGGACUGGGUUACAAAUAUUGUCUAACAUAUUACUUUAGUUUCUUGUUAGUUAUUUGUCUUUCAUGUGCUCUCAGGCCGUUAUAAUCUUCAUGUUCUGGUGCUAACAUGCAAACAUGGCAAUAAGCAAUGGGCUCCAGAGGUCAGUGACUUUGUAAGGAGUGGAUACUGGCCUGCUACCAUGCAAGUGUGGCAGGAUGGCUAGAUCCUCCUAUAUUGAUUGUUAGGAUUGUUGGCCUAUCAGUGGUUAGGGGUGAGCAUAUAAAAGUUGGAGUUGUGUCACAAGGAUGUGUUGCUCUUAGGUGCCCCGCCCCUUUCUGGUACCAGUGUUUACAUUGUGGUUAGCAGUGUGGCUAACUUGGUCACAGCUCACUUAGGGUUCUUUUUGUGCAUCUAUCCAAAGGCCGCAUGAAGUCGACUGGUUAAUGUUGCAACCGGUGUUUGGUCAGACUGCUUACUUGGGUACGUGUAUAAAGUUUAUAGUACAAAGUUUAAUCAUACUGUGGGAACUAGUUGGUUGUUUUUCAUUGCAGCAGUUCAUUGCUGCCCGCUCCUGGCUCCCACACCAUCGUGUACAUCGUUCAUGACUUUGCUUCGGUGUGACGUUUGUGAGGUUCAGUGCUGGCCCUGUCCAUUUAACAUUGCGAGGUGCUGUGGGUCAAACCCCAAAAAGGGCAGGGAGGCAGAUCUCCACAUGUGUGUGGUGGUGGUGCUAUCUUGUCACCGUGUGCAGUGUUGUGGCGUGUCGAUCACCAACCAAAAUCUCACUGAGUAUGUGAAUGGGUGCACCGAUAGUGUGUGAUAAUUGCAUUUUGUGAUUCUUUAGGAGUUGAUUCCAGCUGACCACAGCCCUGUAAAUCUUUGCUCUUUUUGUGUGAUCAGCAACACGUAACCAAAUAUUAAGUGUG